rnacentral:rRNA from 1 species
UGGGGAAUAUUGGGCAAUGGGCGCAAGCCUGACCCAGCAACGCCGCGUGAAGGAAGAAGGCUUUCGGGUUGUAAACUUCUUUUUGACAGGGAAGAGCAGAAGACGGUACCUGUCGAAUAAGCCACGGCUAACUACGUGCC